rnacentral:rRNA from 1 species
UAAAGCGUGCGCAGGCGGUUUGUAAGACUGUCGUGAAAUCCCCGGGCUCAACCUGGGAAUGGCGAUGGUGACUGCAAGGCUAGAGUUUGGCAGAGGGGGGUAGAAUUCCACGUGUAGCAGUGAAAUGCGUAGAUAUGUGGAGGAACACCGAUGGCGAAGGCAGCCCCCUGGGUCAAAACUGACGCUCAUGCACGAAAGCGUGGGGAGCAAACAGGAUUAGAUACCCUAGU